rnacentral:SRP_RNA from 2 species
GCCGAGCUCGGUAAUGUGAGCUUGUAACUCAAAUGAGGGCUUUAGAGUGGUUGAAAGCGGGCCAAGCCCUAACGGGUAGGGUUUCUUGGAGAAUUACACUGAACCGCCCAUUCCAAGUACGAAGAUGGGCCUUGGGCUCUUGGCGAAGGCCUUGAGUCCUUUGCCCUUAGAGAUGGAGGAUACAGCGUGAGGCUGGUUUCACAGAGCAGCGUUACCUCCCGCUUCUGUCGGUGGAAGGAUUACGGGCCGGCUCUCUUAGGGCCCGAACAUACCUGGUGGGUACACCUCAGUCUAACAACCACUUUU